CCUGCAAAAGAAGGGUAGGAAAAGGGAAAAAGGAAAAAAAAUACAGCUGUUCAGUGAUCUUGCAUUUACUUUCUUAGAUUUGAUAUAAGGAUGUGCUGUAAUUCUAAAUCGAAGUUUUUUAUAGUGCAACAAAUAUGGUAUGAAAAGUUGAAUAUCUAAUCGUGAAAAAAAGGAGUACAUGCCAGUUACCUCCGGUUACUUGGUAGAAGUUAUGAACUUACUCGUACAUGUAUACAUAAACGAUACAGAUUUUGUCGUGAGGUAAAAGAUGAUAUAUAUAUAUAGCCAAGUAUAGCACAAGAUCAAAUCUCUUGUAGCCACAAACUGGGAAAAUAAAGGAAUAUUCUUUCCCCAACUAUUCUAUAACAAAAACCCUUCAAUCAUUUCUCACCAUGGCGGUGUCUAAUUUGGAGGUAUUGUCUCGAAUCAAAAAUCAUUAUGAUGGGAACAUGUACAGAAUAAAGGUUUGUUUGAACCUUCAUUCAUGAUAGGGUCUUUUUGCACUGAAAAAGUAAGAUUUAAGAUUAAUGCCAUCUCUUUUUUCCUGCAAGUUAUCUUGGUAGAGUGGUUUUCGAAUGUAACAAAUCGAAAAGAAGUUACUAUCUGGAGAAGACAAGAAGAUGGACUCCUACUAAGGCUGAUACAUAUGUUUUCUUACAACGCUGAUUUAUGGCUUUUCAGUUAUAAACAAUUACAUUUGUUUUCUAAUUACAAUGCACUUCCUAAGUUUCAAUCUCUAGAAUAGGCGGAUGAACAAGUAAAAAUACCAAGUCAAACAAUAUAUUCAAUUGAAAGCUUUUUAUUUUUUUAUUACUACAAAAUUUCUUUACUAUCAUUUUAUCUUUUCGACCUAGAAACUUCUUUGUCAGAUUCCAAAAACAAAACCUAUCUUUUUCUUUUGGCUUGGUUUUAAAAAACAGUGCUAAAAGAUAAAAAGUAAAACAAAUAAAUUCAUGUAGAAGUAGAGUUUAUAAAUGUAAUUUUCAAACAAAAAAACCGAAUUGUUAUGGCUCGAGCUAACUUUUAGAAUUUAGUUAAACUCUGAGUGCUAUAAGGAUAGGAUCAGUUUGAUUCUAUCUCACGUUUUAAACCUAUACCUAAAAGGUCUAUUCAUACACCGGCAGUCUUCAUCUUCACGUAGGAGUUUUCUUAUUAGAAUCUAAUUUCUUUCAACCAGACAAAAAGUGCACGUAAUUUUGAGUAGGCUGAAAUGCCCUUUUCUUAGAGGUCAGUCUCUUUUAAAAGGUUGUAAGGUCAUAGUACGGCUUGGAUAGACGCAGUUUAAAGUACCAGAGAAUAUUUCCACACAAGAGAUAAAAAAACUACAAGACAAAUUUUCACGUUGUGCAUCAAAAAGCAAUCUUCCAUGCUACAAAUGUAUUAUCUAUACUCUAUAGAUAUCAAAAUAAAGGAAUGUGGUGUUAACGAUUCCAGGAAAUCCUAUCCAUGUGUUAUUUUUAACAAGAGGGUUGCUUCUCCUCAUCACUUACAAAUAUUCUCUCAUUUUCCUCUCGUCUUAUUUUACGGUGAAAGAUGAUACGAAUGAACAGAGCUUUAUUAAAAUACUUCUACAAAUUUUAGAACGUUUCAUUCAGGAUAAUUUCAUAUUUUAUUUGACUUGCAAAUUAGAGCUGAUUUCAAAUGUAUGUUUUUAUUUCAGGCUUUAUUAUUUUUUAUUGUAUUAAUGACAACCUUGAUUGUCAAAUAUUUCUUUAAGACAUCAAAUUCUCAUCCCUAAUUUCCCCACAAAUGGCUGGUUCUCCCAUUUCCCUUUCCCUUUCCCCUUUUCCUCUCUCUCUAGUUUUAUUUUCUGUUUUGCGCCUUCGCUAGAACAAAAGAUUGUCAGAACUUAAUUCUAAAGAUUCCUUACACAGUACACAUGAAUCAAUAAUUUUCAGAAUA